AUUGAACGCUGGCGGCAUGCCUUACACAUGCAAGUCGAACGGCAGCACGGGUGCUUGCACCUGGUGGCGAGUGGCUAACGGGUGAGUAAUACAUCGGAACGUACCUUAUCGUGGGGGAUAACGCAGCGAAAGUUGCGCUAAUACCGCAUACGCCCUAAGGGGGAAAGCAGGGGACCGUAAGGCCUUGCGCGAUUAGAGCGGCCGAUAUCUGAUUAGCUAGUUGGUGAGGUAAAGGCUCACCAAGGCGACGAUCAGUAGCUGGUCUGAGAGGACGAUCAGCCACACUGGGACUGAGACACGGCCCAGACUCCUACGGGAGGCAGCAGUGGGGAAUUUUGGACAAUGGGGGCAACCCUGAUCCAGCAAUGCCGCGUGAGUGAAGAAGGCCUUCGGGUUGUAAAGCUCUUUUGUCAGGGAAGAAACAGCAGCUCUAAUACAGUUUGCGAAUGACGGUACCUGAAGAAUAAGCACCGGCUAACUACGUGCCAGCCGCCGCGGUAA
rnacentral:rRNA from 1 species